UAUCGAUAUGAAUGCAUUUAU
rnacentral:piRNA from 1 species